rnacentral:misc_RNA from 1 species
CUGGGAAGAGACUGUGGCCACCAUUGAUAUUUGGUUCAUCAUUCAUGUCAUGGUAUGAACACUUGGGUCGAUGCGUUUGUUUACUUGUUUGCAGAAACCACAGGAUAUGGGAGAAGAUUUUGAAGCUACUCACCUGGAGAAGGGAUCUGCAUUUCAUGAUUAUGGACUUGACCAGGCACACCCAUCAUUCAGCUUGGCAUACAAUGCACAAUGUGAUAUGUGGAGGGGCAAAAUUUCACUCCAGAUUUAAACUUGGACAGAUUGAUGAAAUCUGGAGUGAAAUUUUGUGUUAUUCAUGGUGAUUGCGACA